GCUCCAAUAGCGUAUAUUAAAGUUGCUGCAGUUAAAAAGCUCGUAGUUGGAUUUCUGGUUUGAUACAGUUUACCGGCCACGGUUUCGUGUGUUAGUGUUUGCUGUUCUGACCAUCCUUCCAAUCGCUGCUCACUUUUCUUCAUUGAUUGGUGAGUGGUAUUGGAUCUUUUACUUUGAAAAAAUUAGAGUGUUUCAAGCAG
rnacentral:rRNA from 1 species